rnacentral:rRNA from 1 species
AACCUGCCCUCCGCCGGGGACAACACUCCGAAAGGGGUGCUAAUACCGGAUACGAAGUCUGUGCCGCAUGGUACGGAUUUGAAAGAUGGCCUCUGUUUACAAGCUAUCGCCCGGGGGAUGGGCCUGCGUCCGAUUAGCUGGUUGUGGGGUAACGGCCUACCAAGGCGACGAUCGGUAGCCGGUCUGAGAGGGUGGACGGCCACACUGGGACUGAGAACGGCCCAGACUCCUACGGGAGGCAGCAGUGGGGAAUAUUGCGCAAUGGGGGAAACCCUGACGCAGCGACGCCCGCGUGAGCGAAGAAGGCCUUCGGGUUGUAAAGCUCUGUUGUAAGGGACGAAUGUCUAGGGUAGUAACUGACCUUAGAAUGACGGUACCUUACCAGCAAGCCCCGGCUAACUACGUGCCAGCCGCCGC